GCAUGCACCCUGACGCCCCUGACUGACUGAGUGACCACAGUUUAUCUGCCUGGCUGUGAGAGCGGAGGAGGGGAGUCCUCCUCACUGACUACCCCAUCCAGAGUGACCAUAUCAGGGUAGGAAUAGAGUACAAUGCAGCAAGCCAAAGCGGAAAGUUGGUGACAACAAUCUUGUUCUGCACAGACAGACAGGAAAGUAGAUCAGAGUAGUCUUCAGAUGGAACCUGGAUCUGCAGUAGUUACUGAGGAAAGCCAAUCAAAAACACGCUUUCACAAUGAAUAUGAAUCUAUCAAUUUCAAUACUGGACAGAGAGAGAGAGAGAAAGCCUGCAGCUGAGUAAACAGCAGCAGGGCCGGCCCGUGGUUGAGUGGACAGGUACCCAAGCCUCCUCCCUAGCCUCCCAACCUCCCCCCAGCUCUCAGCCCCCUCCGAGGCUCCCCCGAGCCUCCUCCAAGCCUCACCCAGGCUCCUCAGCCCAAAAACCAUUAGGUGUGUUUCCUUGGAGAGAGGGUCAGAGUGGAGGAUGACAAAUUAAUGUGUGUAAUUCAGCUGUUCCCCUUUUACUGUUCUACAUCAAUUAGCAGAAGAGGCAAUUAAGAUUAAGUGCCGUGUCGUACGCAUAACUGCAUUAAAUAUGCUGUUAAUAUGUCCAUUGUUGUAAUUUCCGAAAUAGGAGAACAUAAAUUGUGAACCAGGUAAAUUACUCAAAUGGCUUCUCUCCCAUUCAUUCAUAUUAUAGUUUCAGUAGCAUCACAGCUCUAAUGUGUGAGGAGUUCACUGAAAGUGCUAGCAGUCUACACAUGUUGAUUUUCGAGCUAAUUAGUUAUGGAAAAAUAUGGCACAUAAACCUGGGUGCUCUGUUAGAGGCAUAAUCAGACUGGGUUCCAGCUGUGCCUGUAACUCCUGAGAUUGAUCCACAAGGCUUUAAAGCAGCAGCAUCCAAUAUAUAGAAUACACUGAUUUACUACUGAAUCCACAACUGUAAAGCCACACCACUGCCUCGUGCUCCCCAUAGUUACAGUAGAGGUUGGUUAAAACUCCAGUAGGCAACCAGAGUCUCUCAGUGUACUAAAGAUAUUUAGAGAGAAUGAUUAGGAGAUUCCUCUGUAGGCAGCUCUCCUCUGUAGACCCUCAACCCACAGUUAUUAGACCUUGAGGAUAAUUAGCUAAAGGAUAGUUCUCCAUGCUUUACUGUGGCUCCGAGCAGACAACAUCAAAGGCUGGUAUGAAGACCACUAACUAGACCAGCGGGCUGGAGAGAAAUGUUGGGAAAAUGAAACAAAUCAAUGUUGAGAGGAACUGGGGGAAUUAUGUAAAUAUCUAUAUUCAUCAUGGGGGAAUUGUCUUAGUCUGCUUUCAUUUUCUCUCAGUCAUGUCCAAAAAGGAGCAAGAUUAGGUCACCUUUGAGAUUUGAAAAGAUAUUUAAGCACAGAUCAAACGAUACAAGGAUUACUGACUCAAUACAAAUGGCGCUUUUUACGACGUUGUAAUUGGGAAAGAUGUAAGAGAUAUUGCAUGUGUUAAUUCAGACUACUGCUGCUGAUGUACGACUUUUACUCUCCCAAACAUGACAACUGUGAAAAGGUAGCUCGCUAUCAUAGCUAACUGAAGCAGACAACAAAUGACACCAUACUGAAGAGCCUAAAGCACUUGCACCUAAAACGUCUUCAGUGUCAAAACACAUGAAUGCAUGCCUCAGAAAUCUCCUGUGUCUAUGUAAUGAGAAAGCACAACAUUUUCUCAGCCAUAUGUUCAUUGUCUCACCUUUGCUAAAUAUACUUAAAGCAUUUAUGCCCAUUAAUAAGGUGUGAGAGACUUCUGAGGGCAGAUUGCAUACAGUAGAAUGUCAAGGUGGUAAAUACAACAUCAGUAGUCAAGUAUUUGUUUUCCUCAUAGACUACAGCACCUAUUUAAAUGCAUCUUUCUUUCCCCUGAUUAUAUUGAUGUCAUUGUUCUUUU